rnacentral:lncRNA from 1 species
CUCAUGUACUGUCUGAACACAUAAGUGGCAUCGAAGAUCAGAUUGGCUGAAAUCCUCUAUGAAAUGAAGUCUUCUCUCAUGUUUGGAUCGCAUAUAUGUUUAGUGACCCAGCGGCUGCUGUAAGGGCCCGACCGAACCUAGGACAGACCUUCAAAGGUCAGCUAGUGCUUUGAUGGCUGUGACUUUGCAAACAUGUGCAUGGCAUCUCCUAUGAGGAUUAACAGCUGAAAUGGUUGUAGCAGGGGAAUAUAAAUUAGCAACAAUGAUGGUGCACUGAAGACUGUUUUUUGCAAAGGAAGGAUCUGCAAGGAUGUUAGGAUCUAUACCUCAAAAUAAAGAAUUGGGAACCAAUCACCUCUGGGGAACAUCCUGUUCUGCAGCCCUCCCUUGA